GUCUACAGCCAUGCUACCCUGAACAAGUCUGAUUCCGUCUGAUCUCAGAAGCUAAGCAAGGUUGGGUCUGGUUAGUACUUGGAUGGGAGACUACCUAGGAUGACUAGGCAAUAUAGGUG
ensembl:rRNA 5S_rRNA 5S ribosomal RNA